GACGAACGCUGGCGGCAUGCCUAACACAUGCAAGUCGAACGAAGCCUUCGGGCUUAGUGGCGCACGGGUGCGUAACACGUGGGAAUCUGCCCUUCGGUUCGGAAUAACAGUUAGAAAUGACUGCUAAUACCGGAUGAUGUCUUCGGACCAAAGAUUUAUCGCCCAAGGAUGAGCCCGCGUAGGAUUAGGUAGUUGGUGGGGUAAUGGCCCACCAAGCCGACGAUCCUUAGCUGGUCUGAGAGGAUGAUCAGCCACACUGGGACUGAGACACGGCCCAGACUCCUACGGGAGGCAGCAGUGGGGAAUAUUGGACAAUGGGCGAAAGCCUGAUCCAGCAAUGCCGCGUGAGUGAUGAAGGCCUUAGGGUUGUAAAGCUCUUUUACCAAGGGAUGAUAAUGACAGUACCUGGAGAAUAAAGCUCCGGCUAACUCCGUG
rnacentral:rRNA from 1 species